GGAUGUGAGGGCGAUCUGGCUGCGACAUCUGUCACCCCAUUGAUCACCAGGGUUGAUUCGGCUGAUCUGGCUGGCUAGGCGGGUGUCCCCUUCCUCCCUCACCGCUCCAUGUGCGUCCCUCCCGAAGCUGCGCGCUCGGUCGAAGAGGACGACCAUCCCCAAUAGAGGAGGACCGUUCGGUCAAGGGUAUACGAGUAGCUGCGCUCCCCUGCUAGAACCUCCAAACAAGCUCUCAAGAAACCAGAGAUUAUGACUUGGUGACAUCUGGAGAUGUGACAUUUAAAAAUGAAUUUUCACAAGUUGUGAGAUUCAGUGCCUUUU
rnacentral:snRNA from 1 species